ensembl:lncRNA
UUUUAGUCAGCUAUAAUAACCCUGAAUGCCACAUAUUUAAACACACACAGGUGAAAGUGAACACUAAUGAAUAUUUGAAGAGAGAGAAACACAAGCACACCCACCUUGAUCUUCAGCUCAGAGCCGCGUGACACACAAACAUGGACUCGUCUGUGGUUGAGGGAGGAAGAGCUGAGGAAGAGUGUGAGACAGCAGACAGGAAGAGGAAUCUGCAGGACCUCCUCAGACAGGAAAUGGACAUGCAUCUUACUGAGGGCAGGGCCAGCGUCCAAAGGAAUCAGGAGAGAGUGAACCGCAUCACACAGCUGAAAGAGGAGAUCAGGUUACAGGAGACGCACAGAGAGUCUGACCAAUCACACGCCACCAGCACAGUGAGUGACCAAUCAGGAGACACUGCGGAGAAACUCAGUCCACUGCUGACACCUGAUAACAGUUAAUCAUCUGACUUCUGCCUCCUCUACCCUAGUGCAAUAUUUAUUAUUUUAAAUGAGAUUUUAUUUUGUAUAUUUUCAGUUUAUAUUUUAAUGUUUGUUUGAGUUUUAAUAACUUUAUUUAUUUAUUUAUUAUUAGGUCAUCA